CACACACACACACACACACACACACACGCACGCACACGCACCACAAGCACUAAUAAUGUUUAGAUGUAUGUGCACAAAAUGCUUAGCAUUGUGCCUCGUCAACUGCUGGUGACUACUGGUAACUACAUCUCCUAGCAAGCCCAAAUUGUGCGUGCCCGUGGCAGAUGGGUGCUACCCGCUGCCACUUUGGUUGAUUCAAGGAUAAGCACUGACAGGUGGUGGCUCUGCGGGCCUCAUUAGCCAGAAAAGGGCCUGGCUAGGGUUUGCGAUAGGGUGGGGACGUGGAAAUGAUGAAUUCUCCUUCCACCCCAGCUGGUGCUUUGCAGGCUAAGGGUGGCCAGAGGGGCCAACGGUAGCGAUCGCUUAACUGCCACCAGUUCCACGCGGCUCAGCAGGAAGGAUGGAUGCUUAAAGAUUUCUUCCUUGAGCAGCAUUCCAGCAAGUUCGCAGAUCGUCCUUUCCCUCCCUCUCCCCUCACCCCUACCCAUCCCCUUCCUUCUCCUCCAUCUCCCUCCUCCUGCACAUCUUGUUUCUCCACUUCUGUGAAAUGAACGUUUUAAACUCUGAGACCCUGGCAAGACCCAGCACCUGUGAACAUGAUGACUGGACAGAGAACACCAGGAUGUGCUUACACCACCUACUCCGCCCUGAGCACCCCGCCCUCAUCCCCCAUGGUGCAUGAGUGCCCUGGUAUGCUACAGCUGCAUAAGGAAGCAGAACUAGGGGCUUAAGCCGCAGAAAGGCUCAAAGGCCCAGAUCAAGGGGCCAGAGGUUUGUUCCCUUCUCAAGCUGGGGUCAAGCUCCAUUCCACCUCCUUGGACAUUCCUUGGCAAAUAGAAAUAAAACUCCUACCCCUGCUUCCAUCCUCA